UACCCACGUGCCUGAUGGACAGGCCAA
rnacentral:piRNA from 1 species